CCUGGGAAAAGAACCAGGAGAGAAGCCCCUCAGAUCCUCCCUCCUGGGGGGAGAAUGACAGAAGAGGAGUUUGGGUAGCACCUCUGGAGCCCCUGCCAUAGGGCGACCUCCCUGCCGGUUCCCCAGGCCUGCCUUGCCCAGGCUGGGUCAGCCCUGGCCCGAGCGAGCUCUGCCGUCUCCAAGGGGAAGCGGCCCUUGGUUACCACUGGCCUGGAGAACACAGAAGGCAAAACAAACACUGGAGGCCGCUCCCGGCCCAGACUCGCUCCUCACUGCUGGGAACAAUUACAAGAGACGAGAAUAAACGCCUACCCUGGCAGACUGCAGAGCAGCACCGAAGAUAAUGAAUACACACGAACAGUCUACAGUUCCCAGCACACACCAGAGGAUUGGAACAGACAAUACAGAGAAAAAGCAAAUGCAAAUGUACGUAAAAAAAGACCCAGAAAAUUACAAGCGUUGGCAAGGAUGUGGAGAAACUGGAACCUUUGUGUAUCAUUGAUGGAAAUGCAAAACGGCAUAGCCUGCUGGACACAGUCAGUGGUUCCUCAAAAAACUCACAAUGGAAUGAGCCUACCAUCCCGCGGCUCAACACUACUCAACUGCAUGUCUUAAAUGGUUAAA